UACAGAGGUCUCAAGCGUUGUUCGGAUUCAUUGGGCGUAAAGGGUUCGUAGGUGGCUUGCUAAGUCAGACGUGAAAUCCCUCAGCUUAACUGGGGAACUGCGUCUGAGACUGGUGAGCUUGAGUGCAGGAGAGGAACGCGGAAUUCCAGGUGUAGCGGUGAAAUGCGUAGAUAUCUGGAGGAACACCGGUGGCGAAGGCGGCGUUCUGGACUGCUACUGACACUGAUGAACGAAAGCCAGGGGAGCAAACGGG
rnacentral:rRNA from 1 species